UCUUACUUCAAAAAGUGUUUUAUCUUUAUUUUGCGUAAAUACAAGCGACUUGUCUGGAUCAUUAGUUCUUGGGUUGUCUUGGACUCACGUAACUCAUUGGGAUGGAAGGAAGAAGCGCAUGUAUUAAGUAUUCACUUCUAGUCAGCAAAUGGGAGGAAAUGUCUUUUGAAUGCUUUUGACUGCGUGCUGCGUCAUCUGCAGCGGUUCUGCAGCUUGAAAAAAAAAAAUGCUUCCCCUUUCCAUGAUGUAAAAUAAAAAUAAUUACAAUUCGUAUCUGUCCUCUUCACCACACCCUGCUCAUGUUGUACUUAGUCUGCCCCCUCUCCGCCCCCCCCCCCCCCCCCCCCCCGCCCCCUGCAGCCUUCUCCCACCUCAAAGGGCUGCAGCAGGUUUCAUGCAUCAGCCCCUUUCUCAGACACACACACACACGCUGUCACACAGUUCAGUCAGUCUCUCCGCAGCGUUCGGCACCUCAAACUUUAUUUUCCGGCUCACGACUUUGGUAAGUGCUUCUCAGUUCCUUUCCCGCUUUUUAAAAAAAUAUUUUGACCAGCAUCUUAACCUCGUUUUUGCUGCACACGUUUCUCCUCUCUGUUAAAAAUGAAAGCACUAUACACUCAGUUUAAACACUUGAAUCUCCAGCUUAACGUGCUCCACGGUUUAAAUGGUUAUAUUAUUGUGUGUGUGCUUAUUUCCCAUUUUGUAUUUUUAUUUUCGCAUUAAAAAUGAUGCUGCGACCCCCCCCCCCCCCCCUCGACUGAUCUCCGGCAGUCUAAUCAACCGUGACUAAAAAAAAAAAAGUUCCACCCGUUGCAGGCUGACUGAUUCUGUUCAAAUAUCUUUCACAGGAAACCAGCAACGCUGCGAGCGGCCUGCUCGCUUCCUGCCGCCGCAGAGAACGCAGCCGGCUUACAGUGGCAUAAGAUAAAGGCCAUAGACACACUUCCUGUCACGCCUGCAGUCUUCUUAGUUUAAACCCAACCAAUGGAUCUUCUGAUGAGAACUUCGCUUUAAAGUACAAGGACUUCUAACUUCUAUAAAGCCGACUUUCUCCUCUACUCUGAGAAGGCAUGACAGGCAUGACAGACAUGACAGACAAAAAGCCAACCGUGCUGGUCCUUUCGCUCUGUCUGAUCGGCCUACUUUUACUGCUGUUCUUCUUUUACAAGAUGUUGAACAGGGAGGCCAAGGGCGAGUACACCGUGCGCCGCCUGGUGUAUAGGGAUGGAGGGGUCAGGGACCGGGUGAGAGGCGCGUUGUUGGCCCUGGGGACGCGCCUCGGAGUCCGGCUGUGGCCCUGGAGCGACGCCGAUGAGGAUGGAGAGGAGAUGCGGGAAGUGGAGGAUGAGGAGGGUCAGUUGGAGGAGGGGGGCAGCCAGUCGAGUGACAGCGAGGGGGACGGCGAGGAGGACGGGGAGCAGUGCAGCACGUCAAAGGGAGAGGAAGACGACGGACAUCGUAGCUCAGACUACGAGAGUUCGGAGGCCGGCGAGCCAGACAGAGUAACGGAUCAGGGGGAAGCAGGAGGGACGGGGGAGAAAGUGGGAGAUGGGGAAUGUAAAGGUGAGGCGAGUGGGGGAGCCGGGGUGUUGAUAGAUCUGAAGAAGUUCUCUGGAAGUGCCAUCUGGUCUGAGGAAGAGGGUGGUGGGCGCAUGCUCAGUGACGUGACUGCACUUUGAGAACAGGAUAAAACGAAAUAUCAAAUUACAGGGGUGGCUUCGGACGUAGCAGCCGACUCAGGUCUCGAUUCUCCUUCAUUAGAUGUUAAAAAUAUUGUGAAUCGGUUUUUUUUAAUUGUCAAUUGAGGUCUAAAUGAUGUUCCACCCCCCCCCUAAAAAAACAAGAGACGCAUAUUGAUAUGCAGGAGAACAAUGUAUUGCAAUUUGAAUGUGUGUAAAUGUUUACCUGUAAAACUUUUCAAAUUAACUUUGUAUCAUCGUCAGCAUAUUGCAUAGUGUUUAUUGUGGAUUUUUAAAACUUUAAAUGUCUAAUUUACAUGACAAUAAAAACUGACUGUGCUU
ensembl:lncRNA